UUUGUUUGCUAUCUGAAUGUAGCUAAAUAUAUUUAAUAAUUUUUAUUAUUCGUCUUCUUAUCAUUAUGUCAAAGAUGCAAGCCAGUGUUGAAGCCUUCCUCAUUGCCGUGGAACCAGGACAGCCCUUCCUCCUGCAUGUUGGUGAAAACAAGAGCAGCACCAAAGACACUUCACCAUCAGUGAUCACAAGAUCAUCCAAGGACUUGGUUUAUUACAGUCCCUGUGGCAAGCAGUUUUCUGCAUGGUCAGCAUUGAAGGCCAUAUUGUCUUUGAGAGGGUCCAGCCAACAUUCCAGACAGGACAGUGUUGUCCAUCUUCUUCAUCUUCAACCUCCAAUAUCAACAUGAGGCAGCCAAGACUUUGGAGUUCAUUCAACGUCGCUUCAUUGGGAAAGGGGCACAAAAGCCGGUCGUGGGAAGAUGGUAUCCAAAAAGACAGGAAAGACCAUUUAAAAUAAAAAGUGACGGUCAAUGUUCAGGUUUCCACCCUUAUCAAAAACCUGAUGGACUUUGAGUGGCAUCUCAUUAAUGUUCUAUCGUAAAACUAAGACUGUACUUUAAAAAGUAUCACUACAGUUUUCUUUGCAGUAGCUUACUCAUAAAGUGAAUGCAGUAGUAAAACUAAAUUUACAGUAAAAAUACUGGAACCUACAGACGCCAGUAUUUGAAGGUAUAUUUACUUUCACCACUGUAUUUUACGGUGGCCAACAGGUACAAACACCCAGCAAAGACGAGAAAAACACAUG